rnacentral:misc_RNA from 1 species
UGUCUGCGCUUCACAUGACCAAACUAUUUCAAUCUCUCUUCUCUCAACUUAUUUUCAAUGCUGUUUCAGACAAUGUUGUUUUAAAAUUUCUAAGUCGCUGAUGUUGCAAUCUUUGGUCUUUCUGUCAUUGUUGUUCCCAAGAAUAGCAAAAGCACUGUAUAUUUACUGUGGUUAUGAUCUCUCUUUUAACUGUUUGACUGCUUGACUCUUUUAGGGAAGGGUUUCCUAUCGAAAUUUGCAAA